AUUGAACGCUGGCGGCAGGCCUAACACAUGCAAGUCGAGCGGAUGAAGGGAGCUUGCUCCUGGAUUCAGCGGCGGACGGGUGAGUAAUGCCUAGGAAUCUGCCUGGUAGUGGGGGAUAACGUCCGGAAACGGGCGCUAAUACCGCAUACGUCCUGAGGGAGAAAGUGGGGGAUCUUCGGACCUCACGCUAUCAGAUGAGCCUAGGUCGGAUUAGCUAGUUGGUGGGGUAAAGGCCUACCAAGGCGACGAUCCGUAACUGGUCUGAGAGGAUGAUCAGUCACACUGGAACUGAGACACGGUCCAGACUCCUACGGGAGGCAGCAGUGGGGAAUAUUGGACAAUGGGCGAAAGCCUGAUCCGGCCAUGCCGCGUGUGUGAAGAAGGUCUUCGGAUUGUAAAGCACUUUAAGUUGGGAGGAAGGGCAGCAAGUUAAUACCUUGCUGUUUUGACGUUACCAACAGAAUAAGCACCGGCUAACUUCGUG
rnacentral:rRNA from 1 species